rnacentral:rRNA from 1 species
UACGAAGGCCUGCGACGAGGGCCCCUGCUGGGGCACCGGCCUAGUCGCGGCGGCCGCCGCCGCCGCUUCCACUCCCACUUCCACGACAAGAAGCGGGCGCGCGCCCUAGACUGCCCGCAGCGCCUCAGGAGGCACCUCCACGGGAGGCCCUCGUGGCGCCCCCUCACGGAGCCGGCCCACGACCGGAGCAAGGGGUUCGACCUGCUCUAGGCGGCGAGGUACCACGAGCGCGAGUUGCUCCUCAUGCGCGGGCUCAGGCGGGGGCAGCGGCUGCCCCUGCUCGAGCGGUAGUAGGGCGGCUAGUCGCCGCCGACUGGCUCCGACUUUUACUUCUUUUUCCCUCUUUCUUUCUUUCUGUUUGUCUCACCUCUUUCUUCUUCGCGACCUUAACCUAUUCGAGCCUCUGUUCGUUAUUUCGCCUUUUCCGUGGGCUGCGCUGGUUGAUGAUGGUGACGUGACGUGAGGUAACCUGACGGGGUGAGGUGUGGGGGCACGAGGAGGGAGUAGUGGGAGGAGAGGAGCGGGGAAAGGUAUCGGUGGAAGGAGAGGAGUGAGAGAGUGAGUGGGGGCGAGGACGGAAAUAUUGGGCGGAGAUGAGGUGGUGGAGUGUCGGGUGUCGAGUGUUGUGUGGGUGGCGGCGGCGACGGAGUCGAAGGGGAAGGGCCUCGUCGGUUGGUCGCUCGUUCCCUCCCUGUCUUGUUACCUCCCCUUCCUCCUCCUGCACGCCGACCCGCGGUUGUCCAUGAGCCUCGCCGUCGGGUAGCCCUGCCGCCGCGUCCCGCCGCCGCUGCUGUUCCUGAUGUUCCUCGGCGGGGGGCGCGGCGAGAAGCUCGGGCCCCUCGAGUUCAGGACCAGGAAGAUGGCGCGGCCGUAGCGGCUCAAGUAGCGGUGGAAGGAGAAGGAGAUGCAGUGGCAAGAGUGGCAGUACCCUCAGAGGUUCAGGGGGAGGUUCACGCGGUGGCAGCCGCAGGUCCCGUAGCGGACCAGGAAGCCGCCGUACUAGAAGCGCGAGCAGAUGACGUGGCGGCCGUAGAGUCCUCCCGUGUAGUUGGGUCGCCACUGAAAACCCGACAAGAACCGGUCCUUCGACAGGGACUGGUCCCGGUAGAAGAUGUAUUAAUACGUUACGGAUCCCCGGUAGACACCUCGACCUCACCACUUCCCGAAGGUCGUCCCAGACAUAUACCCGUUGCCACCGCCGCGGUUACAUCAGCGGUCACCGAUGUGGUUCCCGCUGCCGGAACCACGACUCUAGUAACCGUGGAAGCAGGACCAGAUGUGGCAGAAGAGCCGGUGGCUACGGUUCUCCUUACGGUCUCUGAGGGUACAAGGAUAGGACCGGGGAGACGGCUAACCCAAGCGCCACAAGGACCAGGUGGACCGGUGGUAGGGGUAGUGACCGUGGCCGUAGUUGGGUCGCUCCUCGGAACCCCGACGAUAGUAGAUGUUGUCCCUGGUACGGACCUUGCUGGUAACCUAGAAGACCCACCCGGGGAAGCACCCGCGACGGGACCGCCGGCAGAUGGUGGUCCACUAGUAGUCUCGCUAAGGCAAGUUGUUCUCGUCCAGGAUUCGGCGGAGCGGAGACGAUGUCUUUCGGCUAGCCCUUAUUGCUCGAAGAAACACUACAGGACAAAGCUCGCGGAUCAUAGCGUAGGCGGCAGCUAAUAGGUAGAGCUAGAGGACUUCUACAAUAGAGGACGGACUUAGGUCUGAGCGCACAUAAUUCUGAGGUCACACUGUCAACCCACACGAGAAUAACAGCACCUUCUAAAUUCAAUAUUGGACAAACAACGACACGAAAGGUAAAUCGAUGAGGGCAACAACGUAAACCUUACAACUGUUGUCAAGACUACUAUUCUAAUAGGACCUACAAUCGGUUGGAAAAUAUUUGAUUUCGUUUCCGUUUGUCUUUAUUG